rnacentral:rRNA from 1 species
AGAGCUCAAAUUUGAAAUCUGGCGGUCUCAGACUGUCCGAGUUGUAAUCUAGAGAGGUGUUUUCCGUGCCGGACCGUGUACAAGUCCCUUGGAACAGGGCGUCAUAGAGGGUGAGAAUCCCGUCCAUGACACGGACUCCCGGUGCUCUGCGAUACACCUUCAAAGAGUCGAGUUGUUUGGGAAUGCAGCUCAAAAUGGGUGGUAAAUUCCAUCUAAAGCUAAAUACAGGCGAGAGACCGAUAGCGAA